rnacentral:lncRNA from 1 species
UUAUUUUCGAGCAAUAUUUUUUGGAAUGGGAGGCUAAGCAAAUGGUGAUAUAGCAACACUGUAAAGACUGUAUAAGGUGGAAGGCUGG